UACGGGGGGGAGCAAGCGUUGUUCGGAUUUACUGGGCGUAAAGGGCGCGUAGGCGGCCACCGCAAGUCGAUUGUGAAAUCUCCGGGCUUAACCCGGAAAGGUCAACCGAUACUGCGGGGCUAGAGUGCAGAAGGGGCAACUGGAAUUCUCGGUGUAGCGGUGAAAUGCGCAGAUAUCGGGAGGAACACCAAUGGCGAAGGCAGCUCGCUGGGACGGUACUGACGCUGAGACGCGAAAGCGUGGGGAGCAAACAGG
rnacentral:rRNA from 1 species